CGCUCCUGCCACGUGAACAGCCCCGGACGAGACGCGCCGUACCCGGUCAGGAUAAGACGACGCACG
rnacentral:ncRNA from 1 species